rnacentral:misc_RNA from 1 species
GAUGAAGAACGCAGCGAAAUGCGAUACGUAAUGUGAAUUGCAGAAUUCAGUGAAUCAUCGAGUCUUUGAACGCACAUUGCGCCCCCUGGUAUUCCGGAGGGCAUGCCUGUCCGAGCGUCAUUGCUGCCCUCAAGCACGGCUUGUGUGUUGGGCCCCGCCCCCCGAUCCCGGGGGGCGGGCCCGAAAGGCAGCGGCGGCACCGCGUCCGGUCCUCGAGCGUAUGGGGCUUUGUCACCCGCUCUGUAGGCCCGGCCGGCGCCUGCCGAUCAACCAAACUUUUUUCCAGGUUGACCUCGGAUCAGGUAGGGAUACCCGCUGAACUUAAGCAUAUCAAUAAGCGGAGGA